rnacentral:rRNA from 1 species
CCUCGGGGGGCUGCAGUGGGGAAUAUUGGACAAUGGGCGAAAGCCUGAUCCAGCCAUGCCGCGUGUGUGAAGAAGGCCUUCGGGUUGUAAAGCACUUUCAGUGGGGAAGAAAGCCUUGGGGCUAAUACCCUCGAGGAAGGACAUCACCCACAGAAGAAGCACCGGCUAACUCCGUGCCAGCAGCCGCGGUAAUACGGAGGGUGCGAGCGUUAAUCGGAAUUACUGGGCGUAAAGCGCGUGUAGGCGGUCUGAUAAGCCGGUUGUGAAAGCCCCGGGCUCAACCUGGGAACGGCAUCCGGAACUGUCAGGCUAGAGUGCAGGAGAGGAAGGUAGAAUUCCCGGUGUAGCGGUGAAAUGCGUAGAGAUCGGGAGGAAUACCAGUGGCGAAGGCGGCCUUCUGGACUGACACUGACGCUGAGGUGCGAAAGCGUGGGUAGCAAACAGGAUUAGAUACCCGGGUAGUC